rnacentral:misc_RNA from 1 species
GGCGUAUUUUGCGGUUGCCGAGCUCGACCGCCGGUCACGGACAUGAUCGCCUUCAUCGACGAUCACCGCGACACCUACGGGGGCGUCCUUCG